GACGAACGCUGGCGGCGUGCUUAAUACAUGCAAGUCGAGCGAACAGACGAGCAUCUUGCUCCUCUUACUCUAGUGGCGAACGGGUGAGUAACACGUGGAUAACCUACCCUUAAGACCGGGAUAACUUCGGGAAACUGGAGCUAAUACCGGAUAAUACCUUGAACUGCAUUGUUCAAGAGUGAAAGACGGUUUUUUUGUCACUUAUAGACUGAUCCGCGCCGCAUUAGUUAGUUGGUAAGUUACCGACUUACCAAGGCAACGAUACGUAGCCAGCCUGAGUGGGUGGGCGGCCGCACUGGAACGGAGAGACGGUCCAGACUCACACGGGAGGGAGGAGUAGGGAGUCUUCCGCGAUGGGCGAAAGCCAGACGGAGCAACGCAGCGUGAGUGAGGAAGGUCUUCGGAUCGUAUGACAAUUUUAUUAGGGAGGAACGAAUGUGUAAGUAUCUUGGCUCGGCUGAACGGACCCUUAUCAGAAAGCCACGGCUAACUACGUG
rnacentral:rRNA from 1 species